rnacentral:rRNA from 1 species
CCUACGGGCGGCAGCAGUGAGGAAUAUUGGUCAAUGGGCGAGAGCCUGAACCAGCCAAGUCGCGUGAGGGAGUACUGCCCUAUGGGUUGUAAACCUCUUUUGUCGGGGAGCAAAAGCCGGACGUGUCCGGCUGUGAGAGUACCCGAAGAAAAAGCAUCGGCUAACUCCGUGCCAGCAGCCGCGGUAAUACGGAGGAUGCGAGCGUUAUCCGGAUUUAUUGGGGUUAAAGGGUGCGCAGGCGGAUUUUUAAGUCAGCGGUCAAAUCGUGGGGCUCAACCCCAUCCAGCCGUUGAAACUGGGGAUCUAGAGUGUGCGAGAGGUAUGCGGAAUGCGUGGUGUAGCGGUGAAAUGCAUAGAUAUCACGCAGAACCCCGAUUGCGAAGGCAGCAUACCGGUGCACAACUGACGCUCAGGCACGAAAGCGUGGGUAUCGAACAGGAUUAGAUACCCCGGUAGUC